AACACGCGGUCGGUUACGCGCCGAACCCGGUGACAGGGACAAGCUUCACUGCGUUUUUUACACUGUGUGUGUGAUGCUGUUACUGCUGGAGUGUCUGCCAAAACUGGGUGCGUCUUAUGAGCCCAUGCGUCUUAUGAGCCAUCAAAUAUGGUGAUGCCAGUAGUGGGUUCUGCGUUUAGAGACCGCCGUCUUAAUGACCACUGACUGGUAAACACUACUACAGAUGGGAUGCCCUCCACCAUUCACAUUCUAUCACAGGUAAAACUACCCCUGACCCUGUAGCCAGAAGGCGGAUAUUGGGACCCCCAAGGCAGAGUCUGGUUCACUGCUGCACCAUUCCACAGGUGACCCUUGCACCUGAGCAGGACAAUACCUCAACACAAACAUGUGCUCAC